CUCCUCCUUUCUGCAUUUCAGUCGAAAGACAGCGACUCCUGUCACAGUGCACUGCACGAAAAUAAUUUUUUAAAAAAACCUAUGUUCCAGGUUACUGAAUAACGGAAGCAAAUGAAGAGCUGCAAUUUGUAUGUGGCACCCCUCCCACUCUCCCUCGCUGUUGGCCCAGGGAAGAGAAGUCGGUGGAUUGCAAGAAUAACAGUAAAUUAUGCAAACCUCCACAUGCCACAAGAACCACUUUCUGGACUUUGGAAAGUGUCAUGCUCUCGGGGUAUCACACUCUGCUUUUUA